UAAGCUUUGGUUGCCAUCUUCACAAUUGUUGAAGUCUGGGUAACUCCACGAUCUGUGGUCUGAUACUGAUCAGAAACUUAUGACUGGUGUCUAUUAAAUAGGACAGAGUCAAGGCCUAAAUUUUUACAGUUCUGGAGAGAAAUUACAAUUCUGCAUGGAGCAGACUCAAGAGAGAAUGAGGAACCAGGCACAUCAUGCAAGUCUACAGAAAUGCCCUUAAUUUUCAGCAACUAAAC
rnacentral:lncRNA from 1 species